GCUGGGUGUGGUUGUGUACUCCUGUAAUCCCAGAGGCUCAGGAGGCUGAGACAGGAGGAUCGCAAAUUCAAAGCCAGCCUCAGCAAGGCGAGGCGCUAAGCAGCCCAGUGAGACCCUGUCUCUA
rnacentral:sRNA from 1 species